UGUUUAACAAACUUAUAAUUUCAGUUAUUAGCAGAAUCUGGAGUUACUAAACAUUAUCUAAACAAUGACUGAUCUGAGACAAAUGAGGCUUGCUCAAUUGGUUGAGCAUCUCCAUCAUCAAUUGGUAGGUUAAGAGUUCGAGAGUUCGAGUCUGAAGGGUAAAUGGGAAUACUAUUGAUCCUCUUGGAGUUGGGGAACGGUGAGUCCGGUGGCUGGUCGUAUUGGAUCCGCUUAUGCCAAAAUAAUGUCUAUGGACAGUUUCUGAAAGCCAAUAGUGAACAACCUGUAACAUGAAAAAGAGCUUCAUUCAUGGAAGAGGUCCUCCGAGAGGCUGAUGUGAUAAGUCUACAUCCAGUUUUUGAUAAAACAACUUACCACCUUAUGAACAAAGGACGGCCAGCAAUGAUGAAGAAGGAAGCAAUACUUGUGGACUGUAGUAGGUGGCCUGUGAUUGAUGAAGUAGCUCUUGUUGAGCUUCUGAGGGAAAAUUCCAUGUUUCGUGUUGGCCUUGAUGUCUUUGAGGUA